rnacentral:rRNA from 1 species
AACGAACGCUGGCGGCAUGCCUAACACAUGCAAGUCGAACGAAGGCUUCGGCCUUAGUGGCGCACGGGUGAGUAACGCGUGGGAAACUGCCUAUUGGUUGGGAAUAACGACGGGAAAGUGUCGCUAAUACCGCAUAAGCCCUUCGGGGGAAAGAUUUAUCGCCGAUAGAUGUGCCCGCGUCCGAUUAGCUAGUUGGUGAGGUAAUGGCUCACCAAGGCGACGAUCGGUAGCUGGUCUGAGAGGAUGAUCAGCCACACUGGGACUGAGACACGGCCCAGACUCCUACGGGAGGCAGCAGUGGGGAAUAUUGGACAAUGGGCGAAAGCCUGAUCCAGCAAUGCCGCGUGAGUGAUGAAGGCCUUAGGGUUGUAAAGCUCUUUCGGGUGGGACGAUGAUGACGGUACCACCAGAAGAAGCCCCGGCUAACUUCGUGCCAGCAGCCGCAGUAA